GCGGCCUUAGCGCGGUGGUCCCACCUGACCCCAUGCCGAACUCAGAAGUGAAACGCCGUAGCGCCGAUGGUAGUGUGGGGUCUCCCCAUGCGAGAGUAGGGAACUGCCAGGCAUC
rnacentral:rRNA from 1 species